GGGGAUAUGGCGGAAUCGGCAGACGCAACGGACUUAAAAUCCGUUGGUUUUUUAAACCGUGAGGGUUCAAGUCCCUCUAUCCCCA
rnacentral:tRNA from 1 species